UACAGGGGGGGCAAGCGUUGUUCGGAAUUACUGGGCGUAAAGGGCUCGUAGGCGGCCAACUAAGUCAGACGUGAAAUCCCCAGGCUUAACCUGGGAACUGCGUCUGAUACUGGAUGGCUUGAAUUCGGGAGAGGGAUGCAGAAUUCCAGGUGUAGCGGUGAAAUGCGUUGAUAUCAGAAGGAACGCCGGUGGCGAAAGCGACGUACUGGACCUCUUCUGACGCUGAGGCGCGAAAGCUAGGGGAGCAAACGGG
rnacentral:rRNA from 1 species